rnacentral:rRNA from 1 species
UACGUAGGGGGCAAGCGUUGUCCGGAAUCAUUGGGCGUAAAGAGCGUGUAGGCGGCCCGAUAAGUCCGCUGUGAAAGUCCAGGGCUCAACCCUGGGAUGCCGGUGGAUACUGCCGUUCUUGAGGGAUGCAGAGGAGACUGGAAUUCCCGGUGUAGCGGUGAAAUGUGUAGAGAUCGGGAGGAACACCGGUGGCGAAGGCGGGUCUCUGGGCAUUUCCUGACGCUGAGGCGCGAAAGCGUGGGGAGCAAACGGG